rnacentral:rRNA from 1 species
GACGAACGCUGGCGGCGUGCUUAACACAUGCAAGUCGAACGGAAAGGCCCUGCUUUUGUGGGGUGCUCGAGUGGCGAACGGGUGAGUAACACGUGAGUAACCUGCCCUUGACUUUGGGAUAACUUCAGGAAACUGGGGCUAAUACCGGAUAGGAGCUCCUGCUGCAUGGUGGGGGUUGGAAAGUUUCGGCGGUUGGGGCUGGACUCGCGGCUUAUCAGCUUGUUGGUGGGGUAGUGGCUUACCAAGGCUUUGACGGGUAGCAGGCCUGAGAGGGUGACCGGCCACAUUGGGACUGAGAUACGGCCCAGACUCCUACGGGAGGCAGCAGUGGGGAAUAUUGCACAAUGGGCGGAAGCCUGAUGCAGCAACGCCGCGUGCGGGAUGACGGCCUUCGGGUUGUAAACCGCUUUCGCCUGUGACGAAGCGUGAGUGACGGUAAUGGGUAAAGAAGCACCGGCUAACUACGUG